GCAUGGAAAUUAAGCAACAUCAUUUAUAGCUGCCUGAAAAGGGACUGGCUUGCACAGCUUAGUACACAGUACACCAAAGAGCCUCCUGCUCUCUUCUGGCCAUGUAUGAAUCCUUUAGCUGCUCCUCUUUCAUUCCUGGUGGAGAUCCCUUCUGAUCACACUGCUACGGAGUUUUCCAAGGCUCUGCCCCAAGUUCCCUUCCUUUCUCCCUCUGGAACCUCCUGCUAGCCUUUCUUUUUGGACAUUGCUUCAAAGCAGAUGAUGCCCUGAAUGCCCCCAGUGUCUCACUCCUAUUCAUCCACUUCCCUAUUCCCCCUCCCAUCUUGACCCCAGUCUCUUCGGCACAAUUCACAGUUGAGGGGCUUUGAUCUGUCACUGGUCUCUUCUUCAACCUGCUGGACCUCUAGACUGCUGCUGUGCAAAGUGUUUCAUGACUAAGGGCCUGUUGUAGAGAGAGGCUUUCUUUGAAAUACAGUUGCUGGUGGGGUAGUUAGCACUGACAUUUUUUUGCACCACAAUAGUUGCUCAGCUCCAGCUCUGCAGUUUCUGCCUGGCUCACUUAGAAUACUUCUCUGAAAUUUCCCAUACAGCUUAUGGACAAACUAAGCAAUAAUGGUUAAGGCACCAGUCAUUUCCUGAGAACUGCACCAGUGCGGAGAGGACAGAGGUCUGAGCAGAAGCAGAUGGCUGUUGGGUCCUGCUGGUCAUUAAUCCCCCUGAAAAUCUGUUCACAAGGUCAUUAUUCCCAGUAUAUAUGGGAAAAUCAUUAUUCCCACUACAUACAGACAAGGCAAAUGUUUAAAAUACCUUUAGGAGUAUUAUUAUUCAUGGUUACAGGUUGUUCUGGUUCUAGCUCUGGGACAGUUGUGCAGACAAAAUCCCAGCCCCACCAGAAACUAGCUGAGCUAAACUGGAUGCUAAGAGUUCAAGGAGGCUAGAACUUCCCAUUGUCCGGGGAUAUCAUUUUGAUGGGAUGUCGGAUAGGGAACUGUGACUCAGGAAUAUUUUCCUUCUCCCAUAUACACCAGAGCUCAUCUAUGCAUCUUUCUGUGUGAGACUAGACAUAUUUGGUUUUAGACUGUUUGAAAGGGGGGGGUGUAUUCUAUAUAUGGAAUGUUUGGGGAGACAAUGAAAGUAAUGUUUUCUGUACCAGCUCUGGUGCUAAUUUAUUGGGACGCACAGCUUUCUUUUCGCAAAGAUAUUUAGUUUUAAUUGUGUUUGUUGAGGAAUCCAAGGACUUUGGAGAUGUGGUGCCCUUUAAUUAGGUGCACAAAUAUCAACAUGAGUGAAAUGCAUAUUUUAAAAAUAUUUGUUUUUUUAGUAAACUUUUGCCAGGUUCAUUGCAUGGCUAGGGAAUUAAUGUCAAGGCCAUUAUUGUUUGAGUACUGAGUGUACUAGGCCCUAUACAAUACAGGACAGAAAAUACCUCCCCCACAAGAAUCUUACAAUAAUUUCUGAGCAGCAUUUAGAGUAGACACUGCAUACUGUGUGUAAAGCUCUUGAAGCAGGGCCUGAUUUCUCCUCUAAUGUACAGGGGAACAGCACAGAGAACACAGAAGCCUACAGAGCCCUCUUAGGAGCAGUAAUAUUUCGUUUCAUGCUAAUUAGAUAGGUCUGAACUAAGGAUGUAAAGGAGGAGUCGACUAGAAGCUUAUUGGGUAGCACUAUUGUCUACUCGUUCAUCCCGCUCCCCCCAUGCAUUUUUAAAGGGAAGCCGACAGGAGAGGACGCUGGCUGAAUCCCUGGUGCUGGGCCUCAGCACAAACUCAAGCUGCCGCUUUGCAUUUUUAAAGAUAAGCCAGGAGGAGUGCUGAGACCUGGAAUUCAACCAGUGCCCUCUCCUGCCUGCUUUCCUUUAAAAAUGCAAAGCAGCAGGGAAGGGAGGAGGAGAGGUUGUUCUAAGACCCAAGACCAGGGAUUCAGCCAGGCUCCUCUCCUGCCGGCUUCCCUUUAAAAAUACCGAAUGGCAGCAGGAGGUUGUAUUGAAACCCGGCACGAGUCGGGAGUGAGUGCAGACACUGCCCUUCCCCCAUCCACUAACUCAAUUAGCUAAUUAACCGCUAUCUAAUAUCUCUAGUCUGAACCAGAACCUCUUGUCUGAUCAACUUCUGAUUAUGGGAAGGGUGCAUGAAAUCUAGAUCCAGAUUUUGUAGCUUGGUCCGUUAUCUCAAAUGCCUUUCACAGUACCUCAGAGCACUUGGCAAAAACUAACCAAGCCUCACAACACAUCCAUGUGACGUAGUUAUUAGCCCAUGGGAAAACUCUGGUGUGGACAGGCUGCAAUUUACCCAUCCUGUUACAAUGUUACAAUGUGUCAGAGACGGGAACAAGGUACAAGAGCAGUCUUGACUCCUAGUUCCCUACUCUACCCAUUAGACUGCACUUCCCCAUAACAAAUUAGUUUGCUUCUUGUUUUUGGAGUGUCUAGGCUAUUCUGUCGUGACUUAUAAUUUAAGGAUCAGGCAGCUAAAUUUUGCUGAAACACUUGCCCAGCAGUUCACUUCUCCAAAGAUCAAGGUGCCGUAUUGUACAUCUCUUUCACCCGCCGGUAGCGGAAUGCUAAUUUCCUCAUCCAGUCAACUCCCCCGUGAACUCCAGAGCCCAGGCACAGGUUUGCACCGGCAGUUGAACUGUGAAAGCCGUCUGCUGAGAAGUUAUAUGUGCUGGGGAGUGGGGAAGGGAAGCAGAAGAAGGAGGAGGACAAAGAAAUGGGAAAGAGGGACGAGACAUGUUGGGCUAAACCGUCAGUCGAUUCCCAUUACCACUCCCGCUGAAUUUGUGGAUUCACCUAUUUAUACCCACAACUCUCCCUCCAGCCCUCCAACACACUCUUAUACAAGCAAAUUGGGCAGAGUGACCUGGAAAGCCAAUUUUCUAUACAAAUGAGUGAGGAACCAACAAGAUUGCCAGAGGUACGGAACCCAGAACGUCUCCCAAAUCUUCAUGUAUCUACUUUCUACAACUCUCUGAAAACAAGGAAGAAUUUAUUGGAUACAGACAGUGAAAGUGAUUUCUCAUGAAGACAUUGUAUACGCUGGUUACUAGCAACCAUUCAUUGUGAAUUUCUUAGAACUACCUUGAAUACAGAGAAACAAGGACUGUCCUUUACAUGAAAAUCACAAUGUAUGCCUGGCUUACCGAAACAGAGCUGCUAAUGCAACUGUCUGUAGAAAUACUCAAAUCCUAAAGAAUGUAAUUCUGAUGCAGACCUUCCCAAAUUUUUUGGCACUGUAUGUUAAUAUCAGGCUUAAAAACUGUUUUAGAAAAAGAAUGAAUUAACAGUGGAAUGAAAGGGCAGUGGCUAUUUACAAUGCUGGGUCAUGAACAUUCUCCACCAAAAUCUACACACGUAGCACUCAGAAGAAGAGAAUAAACUCAGUAUAGGAUAUAGAAAAGCCUACAAAGGACUUUUCUAUGCAGGACUUAAAGUCAAAUCAACUAAAGACAAGAAUUUAAAGUACAUUAAGGGCCUGUGUAGAUGCUGUUAUUCAAAAGUAUAGAGACAUUUUAUUUCAAUUUAGAGUAAUUCACUUCCCAAAGUUAUUUUGGCUUAAUUUCACUAAGCAUAGGCAAGCAACAGAGAUCUUUUGGGCACAGGCUUGUUACAGGAUGAAAAGAGACAUGUUAGCAGAUUGCUUUUCCAUAUACUCUCAUAAUAAGGACGGAUUAUUGCAGUAAUUUACUUAAGGUAAAAUCCAGUUUUUCAUUUGAAUAUGUAUCUGCACUAAUACUGGUAGAGCUAAUGAAAUACCCUGAAAGUCUCUUAUUCUUUCAGUGUUUUUGAAAACAAGCUACAACAAUACCUCCAGCUUUUCUGUGCAGGGAGAACUGCCUUCCAUGUAUCAUGUAGCUACGUCCAUUUAUUAUAUACACGAUUCAUUAGAAAACAGCUUAGAGUCAGCAAAAGGUCCUGGUUGCCAUACUAUGCAGGUGAACAUCUGCACCCCAAUUUUAUACACACAAUUACUGUUAAUAUACCUGCACACUUGGCAAAUGCACAUGCAAAUUUAUCACAUGCAUGAUUACCAGCUUCACAUAUGCACAUUAUUGACAUGCAAAUCUGAAAUAAUAUUUUCAUGACACAGCCAGUUUUUACUGGUCUACCUGCUAUUCACAAUGUAAGAUUGCUGGACACUAAAAAUCACUCUUCAAAUCAAAGAGGACCUUGUAUUGUGACACCGAGUCCUGGCUGUACCGUUCUGUGCUCUGUGAUAGGUGAUGAUAAGUGUAAACUGCAGGGUCAUUUCAUUGAGAAAUAUGUCUGACAUCUUCAGGAGUUUCUGGUAGCAGUGAUCAAAGGUACUUUUUAAAAAAAAAAAAUUCAGUGCAGCAUGAAAGAGUCCAGAACACAGGACUAAAAAAUGAACUGCACAAAGCUCUUAGCCAGGAAGCUCAGGUUGGGCUUAGAUGAUGCCAUGACCAUGGAGUCCUGCACUGUCAAGUUUGUCAACAUAUUCCAAUAAAGAAAUGUCAUAUGGAAAAUAAGUGGCUGGGGUGUGUAGCUGGUACAAUCAGAAGACAAUGUGUUGAGGUAAUUAAUUCUCAAAUUACACAGCAAGUAGAGUGGGUGAUAUGUUAAUAGUACAGUUGCCAUGGCAGCCUUGAGAUCUUACAAUAAACAACAAUACAGUAA